rnacentral:rRNA from 1 species
UACGGAGGAUCCAAGCGUUAUCCGGAUUUAUUGGGUUUAAAGGGUGCGUAGGCGGCUUUUUAAGUCAGGGGUGAAAGACGGUAGCUCAACUAUCGCAGUGCCCUUGAUACUGAAGAGCUUGAAUUGGACUAGAGGUAGGCGGAAUGUGACAAGUAGCGGUGAAAAUGCAUAGAUAUGUCACAGAACACCGAUUGCGAAGGCAGCUUACUAUUGGUUUUUAUUGACGCUGAGGCACGAAAAGCGUGGGGGAUCAAACAGG